CAAUAGCUUAUAUUAAAUUUGUUGCGUUUGAAACGCUCGUAGUUGAAUUUCUGUCGUCUAGUGCACUGGUCCGAUUCGUCGUGCACAAUUCGCUGGUGGCAUCCGUUUGCACAUUCAUUGUGCAAACCGUUCACUUUGAGGAAAUUAGAGUGUUCAAAGCAGGCUUGGCCUUGAAUACUUCAGCAUGGAAUGAUCGAUAGGACUUCCGUCCUAUCCGUUGGUUCUAGGGACGUGAAGUAAUGAUAAAUAGGGUCGGUCGGGCCAUUCCUACUCAGUAGCCAGAGGUGAAAUUCAAUGAUCUACUGAUGAGGAACAACUGCGAAAGCAUUUGGCAAGGACGACCCCAUUAA
rnacentral:rRNA from 1 species